AUUGAUUCUUGAGAUCUGGGGAACUUGGAAAACUUAGCUGAGCUCCUGGGAGGUUGCAGCAGAAGCUGAAGCCAAACAGAGGAGCUGAGACGUGCUGUGGAAGGCUGGCCAAGCCGAGAGAAGAAGAGAUGAGUAUAAGCUCUGGAGGGGUGCAAAGGUGAAGCGCACUCACAAAGCCAGCUGCCACUUUGUGAGAUGGUCUUUGGAGAGGCCCAAGUAGCAACAAUCAAGAAGCAGAGACCCUCAGUCCCACAAUUCAAAAAGAAUUAAAUUAUGCAAACAACCACAAGAAUGAGCUUGGAAGCAGAUCCACCCAAGAAGGACCUGGAGAAGACUUGACUGUGGCCUCUGAGAGAUCCGAGCUAGAGACCUGCUAAGCCGCGCCCCCAUUCCUGACCCACAGAAACUGAGAUAAUAAAUGUGUGUUAAGUCUCUAAA